CCUACGGGAGGCAGCAGUGAGGAAUCUUGGUCAAUGGACGCAAGUCUGAACCAGCCAUGCCGCGUGCAGGAAGACGGCUCUAUGAGUUGUAAACUGCUUUUGUACGAGGGUAAACUCUUAUACGUGUCUCUGUCUGACAUUACCGUACUAAUAAGGAUCGGCUAACUCCGUGCCAGCAGCCGCGGUAAUACGGAGGAUUCAAGCGUUAUCCGGAUUUAUUGGGUUUAAAGGGUGCGUAGGCGGUCGGAUAAGUUAGAGGUGAAAGCCUGAGGCUCAACUUCGGAAUUGAAUCUGAUACUGUUCGGCUAGAGAGUAGUUGAGGUAGGCGGAAUGUAUGGUGUAGCGGGGAAAUGCUUAGAUAUCAGGCAGAACACCGAUUGCGAAGGCAGCUUACCAAGCUGCUUCUGACGUUGAGGCACGAAAGCGUGGGGAGCAAACAGGAUUAGAUACCCGUGUAGUC
rnacentral:rRNA from 1 species